rnacentral:rRNA from 1 species
GUCCACGCCGUAAACGAUGAAUGCUAGCCGUCGGUGAGCAUGCUCUUCGGUGGCGCAGCCAACGCAAUAAGCAUUCCGCCUGGGGAGUACGAUCGCAAGAUUAAAACUCAAAGGAAUUGACGGGGGCCCCGCACAAGCGGUGGAGCAUGUGGUUCAAUUCGAAGCAACGCGCAGAACCUUACCAGGCCUUGACAUCCCGGUCGCGGCCCCUUGAAAGAGGGGCUUUCAGUUCGGCUGGACCGGUGACAGGUGCUGCAUGGCUGUCGU